rnacentral:rRNA from 1 species
UACGUAGGAGACGAGCGUUGUCCGGAGUUACUGGGCGUAAAGGGUGCGCAGGUGGUUGUGCGCGUGGGGGGUGAAAUCGCCCGGCUUAACUGGGCGGGGGCCUUCCAGACGGCGUGACUUGAGGCGCGGAGGGGGACGUGGAAUUCCGGGUGGAGCGGUGAAAUGCGCAGAUAUCAGGAAGAACACCCGUGGCGAAGGCGGCUCUCUGGGACGGUACUGACGCUGAGACGCGAAAGCGUGGGGAGCGAACAGG